UCUCAUUUUGUAUGACACUAGCGUUUCAUUCUUUCCGUAUUACAUGUGUACACUUUUAUAACCUUUCUUGUCUCAAUCCAUCACGUGACAACAUCCAACAACCUAUAAAUCGAAAACGACGGCAGCAGCGGUUACGUGAGUGCAAUUGGUUUAUGACCUGCCAGAGCUUCCCGAGAAAAUGUAUUUGAAAACGGAACUCGCGCCUCCUCUCAGUGAUGUAAAAUUCCGGAGCAACUGUUUCUGUCAGCUCGGUGUUUCUUUUCGUGCCGCCACCGCCCUCCACGGACGUGAAACACCGUAACGAAGUUCUCCACCAUGUACCUGUGCUUGCUUGCCCUAUGCGCCCUGGCAACGGCUACAUGUGCAGAAUCCAUAGAUGGGCCUAUGUGCGACCCAGCUGAGAAUGAAGAAUACUUCUGCAUGAACUACUGUAUUUUCGCCUACGCUGACCGUUAUUGCCACGUGAGAGGCAACUGCGACUCACAACGGAAAAUGUGUAUCUGUACUAUGAAUCCAUGUGGUGUGCAAUGAAGCUUAAUACUGUGCGAUGCCAAUGCUUCAGCCACUAAGUCAUCGAGAACACAAUAAACAACUGCUCACUGUUGCCUGA